CUUCUCAUUCUCAGCAUAAAUUCCAGCACUUAACCUUAGAGACCUCCCCUUUGUGUCACCCCCGGCAGGUCUCCCUGUCCCCUCAUGCCUGGCCAUGCCUAGAUGACCUGCAGCCACAUCUGACACGGUUCUCCUCUCCUCUUCCUCUGCCCCUGCAGCUGAUGGGGUUGCAGCCAGGCUGACAGUGCCUGCUUGACAUUCCUGGACACUCCCCUCAGCCUGAUCUACACCAUCUUCUCUUCCACCUUCAUUCUCAGAUUAUAACUAGCUCCCUGUUUCACUGGGAAAAUCAAAACUAUCGGAGAAGAGUUGUAGAAGUGCCUUCCCCUGCAUCUGCCUCAAGCUGAUGAUUGGUUUCCCAGGGAAGACCGGCUAGUUCCUCACACCAUCCCAUCCUGCUUUGCAUGCACAAAGAUAGGGCUCUGGAUCGACUCUUCCCUGGCAUCUGGAUGCUCCUCCUUGGCCCACAUAGGA